rnacentral:rRNA from 1 species
AGGGAAACGCAUGCAUCCGAACGGGCCCUCGUCGGGUUCAGGGGGCUGCGAAGGGUCGUGCGUGCGGACGGCACCCUAGCGGGUCGUCCGCUCGUCGAGGCUCCUCGUACCCCUGCACUCUCGGCGGUUGUGGCCGGCCAAGCACGGCGGGUUGCGCGGUCGAUGAGCACGAGUCGGGCAGGUAGCGCAGCUGCCUUCGGGCAGAGGCGAACUUACAGCCGACCGUGCGGAGCGACCGCCGCCCGCCGAGGAGAGCGGUGGCACUUCCACCCCCGUAGCGCAGGUCCGCUUCCGCGGGCCGGGGCGCUCCCGUCGGUUCGUCGGCCGGGUCGCGUCACUGCCUGCAGUGUCCGGCCUCGGUCGGUUCGUCCGGGCGGGAGGUCGUCUCACGCCUUGCGCUCUGGUCGCUU